CAGCAGCCGCGGGAAUACGAAGGGUGCAAGCGUUACUCGGAAUUACUGGGCGUAAAGCGUGCGUAGGUGGUUGUUUAAGUCUGCUGUGAAAGCCCUGGGCUCAACCUGGGAAUUGCAGUGGAUACUGGGCGACUAGAGUAAGGUAGAGGAUAGUGGAAUUUCCGGUGUAGCAGUGAAAUGCGUAGAGAUCGGAAGGAACAUCUGUGGCGAAGGCGACUAUCUGGGCCAUUACUGACACUGAGGCACGAAAGCGUGGGGAGCAAACAGGAUUAGAUACCCCUGUAGUCCCUGUCUCUUAUAC
rnacentral:rRNA from 1 species